UGGGGAAUAUUGCACAAUGGGCGCAAGCCUGAUGCAGCCAUGCCGCGUGUAUGAAGAAGGCCUUCGGGUUGUAAAGUACUUUCAGCGAGGAGGAAGGCAUUGUGGUUAAUAACCACAGUGAUUGACGUUACUCGCAGAAGAAGCACCGGCUAACUCCGUGCCAGCAGCCGCGGUAAUACGGAGGGUGCAAGCGUUAAUCGGAAUUACUGGGCGUAAAGCGCACGCAGGCGGUCUGUCAAGUCGGAUGUGAAAUCCCGGGCUCAACCUGGGAACUGCAUUCGAAACUGGCAGGCUAGAGUCUUGUAGAGGGGGUANAAGUUCCAGGUGUAGCGGUGAAAUGCGUAGAGAUCUGGAGGAUACCGGUGGCGAAGGCGGCCCCUGGACAAGACUGACGCUCAGG
rnacentral:rRNA from 1 species